rnacentral:rRNA from 1 species
CAGGGUGACAGGUGGUGCAUGGUUGUCGUCAGCUCGUGUCGUGAGAUGUUCGGGUUAAGUCCCGCAACGAGCGCAACCCUCGACCUUAGUUGCCAGCAUUCAGUUGGGCACUCUAAGGUGACUGCCGGCUAAAAGUCGGAGGAAGGUGGGGAUGACGUCAAAUCAUCAUGCCCCUUAUGACCUGGGCUACACACGUGCUACAAUGGGCGGUACAAAGGGUCGCGAACCCGCGAGGGGGAGCCAAUCCCAAAAAGCCGCUCUCAGUUCGGAUUGCAGGCUGCAACUCGCCUGCAUGAAGCCGGAAUCGCUAGUAAUCGCGGAUCAGCAUGCCGCGGUGAAUACGUUCCCGGGCCUU